rnacentral:rRNA from 1 species
AACGUGCCUGGUAGUGGGGGAUAACUACUCGAAAGAGUGGCUAAUACCGCAUGAGAUCUCAGGAUGAAAGCAGGGGACCUUCGGGCCUUGCGCUAUCAGAGCGGCCGAUGGCAGAUUAGGUAGUUGGUGGGAUAAAAGCUUACCAAGCCGACGAUCUGUAGCUGGUCUGAGAGGACGAUCAGCCACACUGGGACUGAGACACGGCCCAGACUCCUACGGGAGGCAGCAGUGGGGAAUUUUGGACAAUGGGCGCAAGCCUGAUCCAGCAAUGCCGCGUGCAG